AGCGAACGCUGGCGGCAGGCCUGACACAUGCAAGUCGAACGAGGUCUUCGGACCUAGUGGCGGACGGGUGAGUAACACGUGGGAACGUGCCCUUUGGUACGGAAUAAGUCAGGGAAACUUGAGCUAAUACCGUAUGUGCCCUUCGGGGGAAAGAUUUAUCACCAUUGGAGCGGCCCGCGUCAGAUUAGCUCGUUGGUGAGGUAAUGGCUCACCAAGGCGACGCUCAGUAGCUGGUCUGAGCGCGUGACCAGCCACAUGGGGGCUGCGGCACGGACCAAACUCCUACGGGAGGCAGCAGUGGGGAAUGUUGCGCCAUGCGCGAAAGCAUGACGCAGCCAGGCCGCGUGGAUGAUGAAGUUCGUACGAUUCUAAAAUCCUUUCGCCGGUGAAGAUAAUGACUGUAGCCGGAGAAGAAGCCCCGGCUAACUUCGUGCCAGCCGCCGCAGUAAGAC
rnacentral:rRNA from 1 species